CGAGAACGAAAUUCCCCCUUGUUUAUACUUACUAAACAAUAUACUUAACUAAGGCAACUAAAUUCUAAAACACACGCCCUUUCAUAUUGAAAUUAAACAAGUCAUAUAUUAUUAGCACUGAUCCAAAUCCAGGCUUACGGAUUCGAAAGCUUUGCACUAAUAAAUUUACGUGGUGUUUCCAUAAGCAAACAGUAUCACAUGUUUUAUCGCAUGCAUGCGAUCCUACAAAGAACUUAGUCUUAUUAACCGUUAUCCAGAAUGUGAGAACCAUUGCAAGCACCAUUUCACGUGUACUUCUUCCUUCCAUCUCAUGCACUGCACCUCAUGCAGUGCAUGUGACAUGUUUUAUAUUGUAUUGGGG
rnacentral:lncRNA from 1 species